GACGAACGCUGGCGGCGUGCUUAACACAUGCAAGUCGAACGAUGAAGCCCAGCUUGCUGGGUGGAAGAGUGGCGAACGGGUGAGUAACACGUGAGUAACCUGCCCUGAACUCUGGGAUAAGCACUGGAAACGGUGUCUAAUACUGGAUACGACCUAUCACCGCCUGGUGUGUGGGUGGAAAGAUUUAUCGGUUCUGGAUGGACUCGCGGCCUAUCAGCUAGAUGGUGAGGUAAUGGCUCACCAUGGCGACGACGGGUAGCCGGCCUGAGAGGGUGACCGGCCACACUGGGACUGAGACACGGCCCAGACUCCUACGGGAGGCAGCAGUGGGGAAUAUUGCACAAUGGGCGCAAGCCUGAUGCAGCAACGCCGCGUGAGGGAUGACGGCCUUCGGGUUGUAAACCUCUUUUAGUAGGGAAGAAGCGAAAGUGACGGUACCUGCAGAAAAAGCACCGGCUAACUACGUG
rnacentral:rRNA from 1 species